rnacentral:rRNA from 1 species
CAGUAGCCGCGGGAAUACAGAGGGUGCGAGCGUUAAUCGGAUUUACUGGGCGUAAAGCGUGCGUAGGCGGCUUCUUAAGUCGGAUGUGAAAUCCCUGAGCUUAACUUAGGAAUUGCAUUCGAUACUGGGAAGCUAGAGUAUGGGAGAGGAUGGUAGAAUUCCAGGUGUAGCGGUGAAAUGCGUAGAGAUCUGGAGGAAUACCGAUGGUGAAGGCAGCCAUCUGGCCUAAUACUGACGCUGAGGUACGAAAGCAUGGGGAGCAAACAGGAUUAGAUACCCCGGUAGUCCCUGUCUCUUAUAU